CCUACGGGUGGCAGCAGUGAGGAAUAUUGGUCAAUGGCCGAGAGGCUGAACCAGCCAAGUCGCGUGAGGGAAGAAUGUCCUAUGGAUUGUAAACCUCUUUUGUCAGGGAGCAAAGUCACCCACGUGUGGGUGUUGGAGAGUACCUGAAGAAAAAGCAUCGGCUAACUCCGUGCCAGCAGCCGCGGUAAUACGGAGGGUGCGAGCGUUAUCCGGUUUUAUUGGGUUAAAGGGGUGCGUAGGCGGGUUAUCAAGUCAGCGGGAAAAUCGUGGAUCUCAACUCCAUCCAGCCGUUGAAACUGAUGAUCUUGAGUGGGCGAGAGGUAUGCGGAAUGCGUGGUGUAGCGGUGAAAUGCAUAGAUAUCACGCAGAACUCCGAUGGCGAAGGCAGCAUACCGGCGCCCGACUGACGCUGAAGCACGAAAGCGUGGGUAGCGAACAGGAUUAGAUACCCCGGUAGUC
rnacentral:rRNA from 1 species